UGGUCGGGGUCUCGCCGGGUCGCGUCGGGCGGAGCGGCGGGAGCGGGACUCGGGCGGUCGGGACAGGGCCAGAGGCGGCCCUGGGGCGAGGGAGAUGGAGUUCUCCAGCCGAGCGAGGCAGAAGCAUGCACGGCUGGCUGGAGACCGGCGGGAGCAGUACCCUCACAGCCUGCAGUUUUAUCUGGAGCCCCCGAUGGAAAGCAUCUCCUUGGUGGAGUUUGAGAGCUUUGCCAUUGACCGCCUGAAGCUGCUUAAAGUAGUUGAAAAUCUCGGUGUGAGUUACGUAAGAAGUAGUGAUACAUACAAAACUAAACUGGAGGGUGAGCUCCGGAAACUGAAGUUUCCAUACAGAGCUUUGGCUGAGGAUGAUUAUGAGGCAAGAAGAAAAGAUCAUAUCUCUCAUUUCAUACUACGCCUUGCCUACUGCCAGUCCGAGGAUCUCAGGCGUUGGUUUCUUCAACAAGAAAUGGAUCUCUUUCGAUAUCGCUUCAAUCAACUAACUGAAAGUUUAAUGCAGAAAUUCCUGGAACAUGUUAACUUAUCAUUUGAAGCUAUUGGUGAAGACCUGAAAAAUGAAUUGGCUUAUGAGUUGAGUGUGUCAACCCCUGGCUUCAGUCUGCCUAAAGUAAAAGAACAAAUGUUCUAUAAGGUUGGACUUGCAGAUGCUGUGGAUUUAUUUAGAGCCAGAAAAGUAUUUAUUAAAGAUGGCUUUGCAUAUGUGCCAUUUAAGGAGAUUGAUGUCAUUGUUUUGAAUAACUAUAGGACAAAACUGUCUAAAGCACUGGCGGUCACCCACUGAAGACUUGGGGUUGAUGGUCCUUGUGGGUCCCUUUUAACACUGAAUAUUCUAUGAACUCAAAUGAGGAUGAGCCAGAAUAUGUCAGACCCACAGACCCAUAUCAGAGCUAUGCUGGACCCAGUACUGCACAGAAGAGGAUUGCUUCAGAGAAAUCUGAAGUGGGACAAAAUGGGGAGAGGAUAGAAGAAGGAUCUGAUGCAUGGAUACAGUAUGGAAGGAUGAACCCUGAAGCAGAUGGAGAGUUCCUGAAGGAUCCACAGCCUGUGGAGAACUGAUGCUUAAGGAUUUUUGUUUUCCUGGAGUGCAUGCCAUGGGAGAAAGCCCAUGCCCGAGCAGGGGGAAUCGUGAGCAGCAGGAGCUGUGGAGAGGAGCUGUUCUGGACCGAGCACUGCUGUGCCUGCUGUCCACCUGCUGCCCUGGGUGGAAGCUGUGGGAAUCUCAGGUGGAGGAGCACAGUGCAGCUGAUCAGAGAGGGAAGCAAAGGCAUUGUCUUGUUUUUCUCUGCUCCUCACUACCUGAGUCUUAUUGACAGUAAAUUACAUUAAUUUCCCUCACGUUGAGUCUGUUUUGCUUGCAGUGGUAACUGUUUAUCAAUCUCCCUGCCUUCAUCAGCAUCUGUAGUAAUUUGGCCCUUAGGUUGGGGUGAGUUAUCUGUGGCUGUUCUAAUAUUUUGUCAUGAGGCUUGUAGUUCUGCUGAGGUUGGAGGAAAGGAGGUUCAGCACUCUGGUUCCAGCUCACACAGCUAUGUUAGCUUCUGUGUUUCCUGGUCUCUUUCUCUAAAGCAGCUCUCUGAUAAAUUCAAGGUGUGGGGUUCCUAGAUACCUAAAAACCUAACUCUGACUGGGAUGCCUCCCAGUAGUGUUUGAAUCAAAUACAUUGAAUCUUUAUGUCACUUUACCUUAAUGAACAUUACAUUCAGAAAAUGCUUUGUCCUAAAGCUUUAGUGUUUUUUGAACAAUAUAUUUUAAAGCCAUAAACUGAUGCUUGAGAAUGUGUAAAUAUUCCUGCUGUGUGAGUGCUUUUAUGGUGUGCUGACAAGUUUAUUUUACAAAGACUUGUAAUUAUCCAUGCAUAACUGAGCCAUAGAUUUAUUAUACUUUUUUAAAAUACUUCCCCUUUUUUUUGCCUAGCAAUUGAAGUAAUAACUGGGCUGGUCUCUGAAUUGUUGCUUUUGUGAGCACUCUUUGUCAGAACAUCAUAUAAGAUCUUACUGUCUGCAAAUUAAAAUAUAACCUUGAAAUAGCACUAAUUGGUGCCACAAGAAUUUGAUUUCAGUAUUAAUACAUACAAUCUUGAUAGAGCAUUUUUUUUUCUUAAUACCAGCACUUUUUUACUUUGAAUUGCUAUCUUGUGUAAUCUGAAAAAAUGUCUACAAAUAAAAUUGUUGGUUUUGAGGACUCACUGCAAAAGGAAGACCUCACUGGUACUUUCUAAUUUUGUGUAUUUUUUUCUUGAUUCCUUUCCUGAUUUGGCAUGUAAUAUUUUAAACAGUUAGAAAUGGGAAUCAAAUAAGUUGCAUUACUAAUAUUUGUAAUGAUUUAUCUUUUAAAAUGAAAUAUUAGUCAAAUAAAUACGCUAUUUUGGUUGACUUAUGCUAUAGGUACAAAGAGCCUCCUAAUUCAGAAAAGUAUUGGUAUACAUAGCACCAUCUGUGAAACAUUUUCUUCCUAAAACACCUAAGUUUUUAAGCAGUGGAGCAGAAGGCUUUAUGUGGUGGCAUUAAUGGGGAGAAAGUAUGAUUGAUGAUGGUCUUGUCACUUGAAAUUCAUUUCAGGUGUUGUGUUCCCAGUGUUAACUCAAAGUAAUUCACUGUAACAUAAAUGGAUGAUUUUUAUAAUAUGCACAUACAAGGUUAGUAAGGUAAUAACUUAGGCAGUGUAAGGUAAAACGUGAUUACAGUGACUUUGAAUCUCUCAGGUGAAGUUUGCAGUGAGAAUUUUGCAGAGGAGCAGCUGGUCUUCAUUUCUGAGUAUUACAAGGUCAUUGUCUAAGGCACAGGUCACCUGAAUAAAAUGGUGAUAUUCUGAGUGGGAGAAGUAAUAUUCAGGGAAAUUAUUUAGAGUGCGUGUGUUAAGAGAAGACUGAAACUUGUAUGUUGACUUGUUACUGGACUUUCCUUUAUGGCUUUUUUUUGGCUGUUGUCUCAUUGCUGUCUGUUUUCUAAAAUCCAUCCUUCAGUGUUUUAUCUCCUCUGCUAAUUGAAGUACAUGUGUUCCUUUUAGAGACCACAUAGAUUGCUAGCAUAAAGUAAUUAUAAAUAAAGUUAGGAGGCUAAAUUAAAUUUGACUGUAUUCAGUAUUUUUUUCUUUCUAUUUCUUCUCAUGUCUUCUUGCAUCUUUCAUACAGAGUUUAAGAGUUUAAGUACAGAAUUUGCAGCAUAUGCAAUUGGUGUGGUCUCUACAUAGUCCUGUCUGGUUUGAUUUGUAUGAAAGUGCUUCAAUCUUCACAUCGAUAUUUCAUGGUAGUCAAGCCAACAAAACAAGAUUUGCAGUAUUUGAAGCACGUGGAAGGCUUGCCUAACUAAGUUGUUCAGAAAAUUUCAGAAAAAAAAAAAGGAACUGAAUAUAUUAGUUGAAAGUACAAUUUUAUUUCUUUGUUGUGUGGUAAAUGUGAUAACCUGAAAAUUCAGUUAAUAUGGCACCUGUUAAAUGUCAUUUAUUAAUAUGCUGGUAACAGUGAUUUGCAAACAAUGGACUUUAGUCAGUGAAAAAGAAUUGUAAUAGCAUAUGCAGUUGGUGAGUAAACAAAAGUCUGCAUCUCAGGAUGACACUGUUACACAUUUGCAUUUUUCCUGAUUAUUUUCUCUUGGUGGCCUGUGACCCAUAGCCAUUUGCAAUGUGAUAGCUGUAGCAGUAUCUAUCUGGAGUUAAUUUCAUCCACUGUACUCUGGCUUAGCAAGUUUAUGGAGCAGGCAAAAAGAAAUGGCUUGAAUCACUAAACAUUGUGAUGACAACCUCUCCAAUUACAUGAUAUUUUUUUCACACAUUUUGCAUUAAAAUAUGGAGAAUGGCUGUUCUCCUUAGUAAAGUGUUAUGGUGUCCUAAGCCAAGGCAUGCACAUUGCACAUAUGACAUUAAUUUCUUCUUGGCAUUGUGGCUAAUGAAAAACAUUGUCUGACCUUUGGGGAAGGGCUAAAUCUUAAAUCCCUUUUUUAGGCAGAAGGAAAAAUGGGAGAUGACUGUCAGUAGAUCAAAAUCAGACACGAUAUAAAUUGAACACCUGGUAGUCAUAUCAGGUCUUGGCAGAUUAACGUAUACAAUCUUUUUAGAGUUUGGAGCACUCCUUUAAGCUGUGAGUGUCACAGUAAAGUAUGCACAAGUUUUAUCUCAGCAAUGCCUUUGCCAAGAGGUGUAAAACUAAUUUUAAAAAAUCCCACUAAUUUUGCCGAUACACAACUCAAGUGUUUUGAACUCUUUUAAGAAAAAGCUAGCAAUAUGCUUUUUGAACUUACUGAAUAUUUAUUUUCAGAUUUUUAAAUAUAGAUGAAGUAAAUAUUUUUAGAAAUGCUUGUCACUGUUAGUAUUGCUGCAGCUAAUUUCUGGGUGGCCUCCUUGUAUGACUUUCCAUCUUACUGCAGUUUCCCAAAGGGUAUUUAAUCUGUUAAUGUAUUACUCCUUCAAUUAAUUGCUCAUUUGCCUACCUAUGCUACAGAAGAAGUGGGCUUUUUUUUGUAGCUCUUGUAAAUGAAAAUUAUUUGUCAGAACAACUUUUUCCUAGUAUUAGGAAAGCAGGCACUAUAUUUGAACAUAAUUCUUACAAUAAAAUCACCCCCUGGUGUCUUAUGGACAGCCUGUACAGGCUAUCACUAGAAUUCUUGGAGUGCUUUCUUCCUGAUAAAUAUUUGAAACAUGAUUUAAUUAGGCUGCAGAUAUGAGCUGGAGUACUUAAAAUUUGGCUGUAGUAGCAUUGGGCCUGUUGGUGAACCCUAUCCAGCUGUGCCUUCGUUUUCACCUCUGGCUUGAAAAGAAGCAGGUCCCUGCUUGGAUAAUGACUCGUCUCCAGGAAAGCAUCAGGUGCCUGUGCACUGCCUGUGCUCUGCUGCCAGGCUCCUACUGGAUCAUCACUUUCCUUCUAGUGGCCAUCGACAUACCUGCCCCACGAGUCUACUGCUGUACCCCUGAAUGUUUUGACUGCAGGGAUGUUUUAAAGGAGGGUAAUCAGUGUCUUUUGCUCAACUGAUUCUGAAUGGUCGGUUCAUUUGGGGUUUCUUUUGACUGGAUUUCCUGUUGAAUUAUUGCAUAGAUCCUAUGUGAGUUAUGUACGUUUGGUAGUGUCAACAUACAUAAGUGUUUUGUAUCAUCUCAUUGGUCUGAUGAUAGCUCAUUUGUGUGAGGGAGCAGGCAGUAAAGUACUAUAAUAUAGAUAUUUUGUUGUAAAAAUGGAUUUUGGAAGGUGAUGGUGUAUUUGGAAUUCUCCAGUUCUAUGUGAAAUUUUGUAAAAUCUUGCACGUGCUCUGUAGAUUUUUACCGGGACACUGAAUUAGCUGUCCACUGUUUGAGUUGUAGAAAGGCAGAAAAUAAGGUGAAGUAUCAGGGAAAAACAGACCAAUGAAGAUACUCAGUUUCAAUUUACAUGGAGCUUGUGAAAGCUUUCUUUAGCUAUAAUUUUUUUCUGUAUUUAUGUAAACAAAUUCCUUUUCAUGUAAAUACUAGUAUUUCUCUGUUUGUAAGGAUUGAUGUUUAAUUUAAAUAAUCUGUGUUCUUGAACAAAUAUCAGAAGGCAAGGGUCUCUUUAUUACCAUCUGUCACAAGUUAAGCAAAAUGACAUGGUUUAUUAAUGAUUGCAGUCUUUGUUAUAUAUGUACACAUGAAAAAAAAUGGAUUAAAUUUGGAUGUACUCCUUAGGGCUUUUUCAGUAACAGAAAAACCCAUGAGUUUUCCCUGUUGUUUUUGUAGUUACGAUGGCAAAGUGAGGUGAAGGUUGUUCUGUGACUGUAUUUCUUAAUCCCAAACAUUGUUUAUGUUUCUUUUUACUCCACCCUUUUCAUUUAUAGACAGUGAAAAUAA